rnacentral:rRNA from 1 species
UACGGAGGGUGCAAGCGUUAUCCGGAUUCACUGGGUUUAAAGGGCGCGUAGGCGGCAUGACAAGUCACUUGUGAAAUCUCUGGGCUUAACCCAGAACGGCCAAGUGAUACUGUCGCGCUAGAGUGCGGAAGGGGCAAUCGGAAUUCUCGGUGUAGCGGUGAAAUGCGUAGAUAUUGGGAGGAACACCAGUGGCGAAGGCGGCUCACUGGACCGGUACUGACGCUGAUGCGCGAAAGCGUGGGGAGCAAACGGG